AUACCAAGGCGCUUGAGAGAACUCGGGUGAAGGAACUAGGCAAAAUGGUGCCGUAACUUCGGGAGAAGGCACGCUGAUGGUAAGUGAAGUGACUUGCUCAUGGAGCUGAAAUCAGUCGAAGAUACCAGCUGGCUGCAACUGUUUAUUAAAAACACAGCACUGUGCAAACACGAAAGUGGACGUAUACGGUGUGACGCCUGCCCGGUGCCGGAAGGUUAAUUGAUGGGGUUAUCCUCGCGGAGAAGCUCUUGAUCGAAGCCCCGGUAAACGGCGGCCGUAACUAUAACGGUCCUAAGGUAGCGAAAUUCCUUGUCGGGUAAGUUCCGACCUGCACGAAUGGCGUAAUGAUGGCCAGGCUGUCUCCACCCGAGACUCAGUGAAAUUGAACUCGCUGUGAAGAUGCAGUGUACCCGCGGCAAGACGGAAAGACCCCGUGAACCUUUACUAUAGCUUGACACUGAACACUGGUCCUUGAUGUGUAGGAUAGGUGGGAGGCUUUGAAGUGUGGACGCCAGUCUGCAUGGAGCCAUCCUUGAAAUACCACCCUUUAAUGGCUGGUGUUCUAACGUGGGCCCGUGAUCCGGGUUGCGGACAGUGUCUGGUGGGUAGUUUGACUGGGGCGGUCUCCUCCUAAAGAGUAACGGAGGAGCACGAAGGUCAGCUAAUCCUGGUCGGACAUCAGGAGGUUAGUGCAAUGGCAUAAGCUGGCUUGACUGCGAGCGUGACGGCGCGAGCAGGUGCGAAAGCAGGUCAUAGUGAUCCGGUGGUUCUGAAUGGAAGGGCCAUCGCUCAACGGAUAAAAGGUACUCCGGGGAUAACAGGCUGAUACCGCCCAAGAGUUCAUAUCGACGGCGGUGUUUGGCACCUCGAUGUCGGCUCAUCACAUCCUGGGGCUGAAGUAGGUCCCAAGGGUAUGGCUGUUCGCCAUUUAAAGUGGUACGCGAGCUGGGUUUAGAACGUCGUGAGACAGUUCGGUCCCUAUCUGCCGUGGGCGCUGGAGAAUUGAGGGGGGCUGCUCCUAGUACGAGAGGACCGGAGUGGACGCAUCACUGGUGUUCGGGUUGUCAUGCCAAUGGCAUUGCCCGGUAGCUAAAUGCGGAAGAGAUAAGUGCUGAAAGCAUCUAAGCACGAAACUUGCCCCGAGAUG
rnacentral:rRNA from 1 species